AAUAGAUACCCAGGUAGUCCACGCCGUAAACGUUGGGCGCUAGAUGUGGGGACCAUUCCACGGUUUCCGCGUCGUAGCUAACGCAUUAAGCGCCCCGCCUGGGGAGUACGGCCGCAAGGCUAAAACUCAAAGGAAUUGACGGGGGCCCGCACAAGCGGCGGAGCAUGCGGAUUAAUUCGAUGCAACGCGAAGAACCUUACCAAGGCUUGACAUAUGCGAGAACGCUCUAGAAAUAGAGAACUCUUUGGACACUCGUAUACAGGUGGUGCAUGGUUGUCGUCAGCUCGUGUCGUGAGAUGUUGGGUUAAGUCCCGCAACGAGCGCAACCCUCGUCGCAUGUUGCCAGCACGUAAUGGUGGGAACUCAUGUGAGACUGCCGGGGUCAACUCGGAGGAAGGUGGGGAUGACGUCAAAUCAUCAUGCCCCUUAUGUCUUGGGCUUCACGCAUGCUACAAUGGCCGGUACAAAGGGCUGCGAAACCGCAAGGUGAGCGAAUCCCAAAAAGCCGGUCUCAGUUCGGA
rnacentral:rRNA from 1 species